rnacentral:rRNA from 1 species
AUUGAACGCUGGCGGAAUGCUUUACACAUGCAAGUCGAACGGCAGCACGGGUGCUUGCACCUGGUGGCGAGUGGCGAACGGGUGAGUAACAUAUCGGAACGUACCCAGUAAUGGGGGAUAACUAAGCGAAAGCUUAGCUAAUACCGCAUACGCCCUGAGGGGGAAAGCGGGGGAUCGAAAGACCUCGCGUUAUUGGAGCGGCCGAUAUCUGAUUAGCUAGGUGGCGGGGUAAAGGCCCACCAAGGCGACGAUCAGUAGCUGGUCUGAGAGGAUGAUCGGCCACGCUGGAACUGAGACACGGUCCAGACUCCUACGGGAGGCAGCAGUGUGGAAUUUUGGACAAUGGGGGCAACCCUGAUCCAGCCAUUCCGCGUGAGUGAAGAAGGCCUUCGGGUUGUAAAGCUCUUUCGGCAGGGAAGAGACGCUCUGGGUUAAUAACCUGGGGUAAUGACGGUACCUGAAGAAGAAGCACCGGCUAACUACGUGCCAGCCGCCGCCGUAACAC